GACGGGGCCGCACAAGCGGUGGAGCAUGUGGUUUAAUUCGAUGCAACGCGAAGAACCUUACCUGGUCUUGACAUCCCGGAGACCCUUAGGAAACUAGGGGGUGCUUCCAUCUGGAAGAAUCUGGAGACAGGUGCUGCAUGGCUGUCGUCAGCUCGUGUCGUGAGAUGUUGGGUUAAGUCCCGCAACGAGCGCAACCCUUGCCUUUAGUUGCCAGCAGUUCGGCUGGGCACUCUAAAGGGACUGCCGGUGUUAAACCGGAGGAAGGUGGGGAUGACGUCAAGUCCUCAUGGCCUUUAUGACCAGGGCUACACACGUACUACAAUGGCCGAUACAAAGGGCAGCGACACUGCGAGGUGAAGCCAAUCCCGUAAAAUCGGUCUCAGUCCGGAUUGGAGUCUGCAACUCGACUCCAUGAAGUUGGAAUCGCUAGUAAUCGUGGAUCAGCAUGCCACGGUGAAUACGUUCCCGGGCCUU
rnacentral:rRNA from 1 species